CCAUGUGGAACUAAAACAAAGAGAAGUUCCUUUCCAUUCGCUUAAUAAAUUUGAAGGUCAAAUUUUCAUAAAAACCUAUUGACUUAUGGAAUCUUGAUGAACAGGUGUUGAAUCGUUUGACAUUGAUAUGGAGCAGCAAAAAGUGACCGUGAAAGGCAAUGUCCAGCCAGAGGCAGUUCUGCGGACUGUUUCAAAGACUGGGAAGGCAACCUCUUUCUGGGAAGCACCCCCUGAAGCUGUUGCUUAAUAUGCUCAUUUACUACACCGGAUAAAUAGAAUGUUUGUUGUGGAACUCGAUUUAAUAACCGCAAGAAAAACAGUGUGUGGGGGUUGGUGUUUGUGGGAGUAUUUGUCAAGCUUUUUAUGCAAACUCGUGAUGUAAACAUGUGUUAUUGUCUAUAAAGACUUUUCAACUACUGUCCAAAAACAUAUGACCUUCUCGCGCGCCUCUCUUCUUUAAUGCAAAUGGUUUGUGCCAACACAGUAUAGUCCUAG
rnacentral:lncRNA from 1 species